rnacentral:rRNA from 1 species
GACGAACGCUGGCGGCGUGCCUAAUACAUGCCAGUUGAGCGCUGAAGGUUGGUACUUGUACCAACUGGAUGAGCAGCGCACGGGUGAGUAACGCGUGGGGAAUCUGCCUUUGAGCGGGGGACAACAUUUGGAAACGAAUGCUAAUACCGCAUAAAAACUUUAAACACAAGUUUUAAGUUUGAAAGAUGCAAUUGCAUCACUCAAAGAUGAUCCCGCGUUGUAUUAGCUAGUUGGUGAGGUAAAGGCUCACCAAGGCGAUGAUACAUAGCCGACCUGAGAGGGUGGUCGGCCACACUGGGACUGAGACACGGCCCAAACGGCUACGGGAGGCAGCAGGAGGGAAUCGUCGGCAAUGGACGAAAGUCUGACCGAGAAACGCCGAGGGAGUGAAGAAGGUUGUCGGAUCGUAAAACUCGGUUGGUAGAGAAGAACGUUGGUGAGAGUGGAAAGCUCAUCAAGUGACGGUAACUACUCAGAAAGGGACGGCUAACUACGUG